GACGAACGCUGGCGGCGUGCUUAACACAUGCAAGUCGAGCGGUAAGGCCCUUUCGGGGGUACACGAGCGGCGAACGGGUGAGUAACACGCGGGUGACCUGCCCUUAGCUCUGGGAUAAGCCUGGGAAACUGGGUCUAAUACCGGAUAUGACUCCAUGACGCAUGUUGUGGGGUGGAAAGCCUUGUGCGGCUAGGGAUGGGCCCGCGGCCUAUCAGCUUGUUGGUGGGGUGAUGGCCUACCAAGGCGACGACGGGUAGCCGGCCUGAGAGGGCGACCGGCCACACUGGGACUGAGACACGGCCCAGACUCCUACGGGAGGCAGCAGUGGGGAAUCUUGCGCAAUGGGCGAAAGCCUGACGCAGCGACGCCGCGUGA
rnacentral:rRNA from 1 species